rnacentral:rRNA from 1 species
AACGAACGCUGGUGGCAUGCCUAACACAUGCAAGUCGAACGAGACCUUCGGGUCUAGUGGCGCACGGGUGCGUAACGCGUGGGAAUCUGCCCUUGGGUUCGGAAUAACAGUUAGAAAUGACUGCUAAUACCGGAUAAUGUCUUCGGACCAAAGAUUUAUCGCCCAGGGAUGAGCCCGCGUAGGAUUAGCUAGUUGGUGAGGUAAAGGCUCACCAAGGCGACGAUCCUUAGCUGGUCUGAGAGGAUGAUCAGCCACACUGGGACUGAGACACGGCCCAGACUCCUACGGGAGGCAGCAGUGGGGAAUAUUGGACAAUGGGCGAAAGCCUGAUCCAGCAAUGCCGCGUGAGUGAUGAAGGCCUUAGGGUUGUAAAGCUCUUUUACCCGGGAUGAUAAUGACAGUACCGGGAGAUUAAGCCCCGGCUAACUCCGUGCCAGCAGCCGCGGUAAU